GUGCCAGCAGCCGCGGUAAUACGAACUGUGCGAACGUUAUUCGGAAUCACUGGGCUUACAGGGUGCGUAGGCGGCUUGUUAAGUAGGGUGUGAAAGCCCCCGGCUCAACCGGGGAAUUGCGCCCUAAACUGGCGAGCUGGAGUGAGAUAGGGGUGUGUGGAACUUCCGGUGGAGCGGUGAAAUGUGUUGAUAUCGGAAGGAACGCCGGUGGCGAAAGCGACACACUGGAUCUUGUCUGACGCUGAGGCACGAAAGCCAGGGGAGCGAACGGGAUUAGAAACCCCCGUAGUCC
rnacentral:rRNA from 1 species